GACGAACGCUGGCGGCGUGCUUAACACAUGCAAGUCGAACGGAAAGGCCCUGCUUUUGUGGGGUGCUCGAGUGGCGAACGGGUGUGUAACACGUGUAUGACCUGCCCUUGUCUUUGGGAUAACUUCUGGAGACUGGGGCUAAUACCGGAUAGGAGAUUCUGCUCCAUGGUGGUGGAUGGAAAAUUUCGGCGGUUGGGGAUGGACUCGCGGCUCAUCAGCUGGUUGGUGGGGUAGUUGCUUACCAAGCUUUUGACGGGUAGCCGACCUGAGAGGUUGACCGGGGUCAUUGGGACUGAGAGACGGCGCAGUAGCCUACGGGAGGCAGUAGUGGGGAAUAUGGCAGAACGGGCGGAAGCGUGAGGUAGCAGUGCCGCGUGCGGGAUGACGGCCUUCGGGUUGUAAACCGCUUUGGAAUGUGACGAAGCGGGAGUGACGGUAAUGGGUAAAGAAGCACCGGCUAACUACGUG
rnacentral:rRNA from 1 species